GGGCCAGAGGUGCUCAUUGCUGGUUCCUUCUGCCCCUCCGUUCACUUUCUGCCGCUAAAUUUCUCAGAAUCGUUGGUGUUUCCAAAUAUCCCUGACCGGGACCAGGGGCCCCCGAGCUCCGCUCUUGCCCAAUCCGGGCUCUGACCCUGGCAUCUGAGCCCGGGGCCCCGGCCCUCCUGUGAAGCUCAGAGGCCAGGCCCUGCAGCCUUGGGGCCUGCUGCUUUACUCUCCCUGGGAGCAAAGUCCCCCCUCUUCCCCCCCAGCAGCCUGGGGGUGGUGGGGAGAGAGGCGGGAGAGAGAGCAGGCUUUCCCCACCCCACCUGGGACUGGUGCUAACAAGCUCCCAUUGGCUCCUACUGGGCACCCAGGCUUUUCACCCCUUAACUCCUCUCUUAAAGCCCAGAGCCCAGCCCGAUUUGCAGAUGAGAAGACUGAAGCCCCGACAGCAGGUGCAGGGCUGCGGGCCGAGGGUCCUGCUGCACAUUCCUCAUGGCCAUCCAGCGAGGUCGGGAGUUAUCGUCCCCGUUUGCGAGCUAGGGAAGCUGAGGCUCACAGAAGCGUUCCCACCUUGUUCCCACCUCGCCCUCCCUCGGUCCCCCUGCACGCUCCCCGCCCCAGGCUCCAUCAGCGUCCAGGCCUCGACUCCAGCGCAGCUCGGAGGAGACGCCUCCCUGACCACCCCGUCUAAACUAGCAAAGACGCGCACCUCAUCGUCACUUUGUUUAACAGCACCAUCGUCAUUUUGAUGAUCUGCACCCCUUCACCCCCUGCGGUCGGAGGUCCCCACUGCAAGGACCCCAAGGGCCCGGAGGAGGUCGCAACCCCAGCAUUUCAAACACAGAUUGAAACCAAGCAAGAGCCAACUACGUUAUUUGUUGAAGGAACUAGAGGGGGGUGGAGAGGAGUCAGGAUCUGAACCGCAGUCUGUUUGGGAAUCCAGUGCGUCUAUCCACUCAAGCAUACGGUCUCCUUAAACGGCCAAGGAUGAGCUCUUUAUAGAUUUGGGAGAAUAUACCACAAACUGCCAAAGUGCCUCCCUCUGAGGAGUAUGUGGAAGGAGAUGGGGAGGGAGCUUUUUUUUUUUUUUUUUUUUGAACCGUAUGUAUUUCUAUAUUUAUUUGAAUUUUUCUAAGGCCCAUGUAUUACUUUCAUAAUCUAGAAAGUGAUGCAUGCAGGAUUAGGUGAUUCUCCCCCCUUCUCGGUGAACUCUCCUUAACCCCUUAGAUCCAGACGCAUCACCUGCACACACGUUCCUCAGCUCACAGAUUCCUCCCCUCGGCCAAUGGUAGAGAACAUCAGCACAGCUUCAAACCAUCUGCUCCUACGCAGAACCAAGCUAAAAGAAGGAUUAUUUGAAAAACGUCCUUGGAAGCUGUGAGGCUCCACCCGGGGAGGUGGGAGGCGGGAGGCGUCAGAGUCACCUGGGAGGUUUUCCUGAAACGCACUGCCCUGGGGCCCCACCCCCAGGAUCGGUGGGUUGGGUUUUAAGUCUUGUGCAGGGCAAGCCACAGAGAGGACCACCGGUUUCAGGGACACACUACUAGAGAUCUCUACCUUGCUCCUUGGAUAAGCUCAGGCGGGGGCAAUCCCAUCCUCCCCAGAGCUGCUGAGCCUCGGGGGAUCUUUUGCAUCCAACGCUUAACUUCUGUCAGCAGGGGCGACCGGAACUGCCCUCUGCACCGUUUAGGGCUUAACCAUCUCAACUCUUAGCACCCUCCACCUCAGCCUUCCCCCGUGGGGCCCCUGAAUCAGAGGGGGAAAGGGGCAGGAUCACAGCUGGUGCCAGCGACAGCUCAUCUACGCUGCAGCCGAGGCCCUCGUGGUGGGAACCUGUCAGGCCCAUGAACGGUGGGCAGAAGAAAAGCUGAGAUGUGACACUGUGCACAGCAGCAUCUGAGAAGCUGCAGCAAGACAGGGUCGGGAAAAUCUGACUCCCUAGAAGAACCACAACUUUUUUCUCCUUUAGAAUAAAGAACUCGGUAAUGGACCAUUUCCCUUUUUGCCCUGGCUACCAGGAAGCUCAGAGGUCAUAUUUACUCUCAUAGCUACAUAGCUACUGCAUCUGUUUUUCUUUUUUUUUAAUUAAAUCUUUGGUAUCAAGGUCCCAUUUUCCUAGAGGCGGGGCAUAAAGAAAUCCAAUAAAUGAAUAUUUACACAGUA